rnacentral:rRNA from 1 species
CACUAUGCCUAGCCCUAAACAACGAUACCAUUAUACACCCCCCAUCCGCCCGGGUACUACGAGCAUCAGCUUAAAACCCAAAGGACUUGGCGGUGCUUUAAAACCAUCUAGAGGAGCCUGUUCUAGAACCGAUAACCCCCGUUAAACCUCACCCCUUCUUGUUUAAUCCGCCUAUAUACCACCGUCGUCAGCCUACCCUGUGAAGGACUAAUAGUAGGCAAAGUUGGCACAGCCCAAAACGUCAGGUCGAGGUGUAGCGUAUGGAGGGGGAAGAAAUGGGCUACAUUCUCUACUCAGAGAACCACGAAUGACACACUGAAACAUGUGUCUGAAGGAGGAUUUAGCAGUAAGCAAAGAAACAGAGUGUCUUGCUGAAACCGGCCAUGAAGCGCGCACACACCGCCCGUCACUCUCCCCAAAUCUAACUAACUAAUAAUUAAUACACCACCACAAACAAAGGGGAGGCAAGUCGUAA